CCACCUGGACUCACAACGCGCAUGCGCAGGCAUAAGACGUUGGUGUUUUAAAUAGUAAUAUUUUGGCGCAAAUGUUCGUGUUUGGGAAAAACUGAGCUGGAUAAACGAGAUAUGGAUUAACUAUACUGCAGGAUCUUCUGUGAGAGUUUGUUUAGCUAGUUGUUGUUAAACCCUGGACCCUAUUUACUUCAAUUUAUCAAGGAUUUACUGCGUUUUUCGGCGGUUCUUGUGUUCUCCUUCACCGUGGAGACAACAAGCCAGAAAAACAACGAAUUCAGGACGACACACGAAGUCCAUCUCCGGACAUGAUGACUAAAGCGUCCCACUGCGACAGGUCCGCCUCCUUCACCAGCUCUCGGGCGUGGUUCUGCCGCUCUGCAAAACACACACGCAUAAAUGUAAAGUGUGUUUUCAUGCAGUACUCGUGCCUCCAACUCACCGGUGAUGACCAGCGUGUGUGUGACUCCCGCCUCGUUGAGCAUUCGCUGGAUGUGGUUGUUGUAGAGCGUGAGCGCCUGUCCUUUCCCGCUCUGUGGGUUCACCAGCAGCAUCAUCCGGCUCGGACGAGACAGCUCGCUCACCAUCACCCCUACAGAGACUUUGGCGAGGCUCCUGUAAAGGAGAAAUCAGAGAGGUGUACAUUGAUUGUUGGAGCUGAAAUGCUGAAUAUAUUCUACAAAAGGAAGGAACCACCGCAGUACAAGACUCACCCAGGGGGUGAAGAGCUGGGAGAGACGUCAAAUAAAAGGAGAGAGAGAAGUGUGACGGGAAGCCAUCAGCCACAUUUGACACGCUGCAGCUGUGGGAUAACUUUACAGACCUAGAGCAUGGUGACAGAGGACCCCAUCCAUCGCCGCCUACCCACCAACAGUCCUGAGCAGAAGGUGGCGGUAAUAAGCUGGAUGGAAGAAGAAGAGGGAUAAGAAGGAGAAAUGUCCGCUAACAACCCAUGCUAACGACAACAACAACUCCUUUCAACCGGAAAGCUACAACGGUGACGGAGGCCAUUUAAGAGAAACCGAAGACCCCUGCAGCCUGAAUGAGGUUUAUGAGAUAGUGCUACUGACCACAAAAAUGCUCAGAAAUGUGACACUUCUGCAGGUAGCCCAGCAGUAGGAAUACAUGCAGGCCAUUACAUUUUUGCUCAGCACUUCUGUUUCUGUUUGGCUCGAUGACUUCUGGACUGCUGGGCAAUAUGACACUAUAGAUAUCGUCAUAUAAAAUGUCUCGUAUUGAUUUUUUUAAUAUAAUUUCUAUCGUGAUACAGGCAAGGUCUAUAUUUAUUUGUUUUUUCCUCUAUAAUUUCACUUAAAACUUAAUUUUGCACUCAAGUUCUUAAAAUGACAAAAUAGUUUUCAUUUGUCAAGUAUGUAAUUCACUUUUCGCUAAACCCCUCCCCCAAACAGCGAUCGUCCAAUCAUAGAUUAGCAACCAUAACUAGGCGCGGCAAGUCUGUCAAGCUUUGAAUUUCUUCUCCAUGUGGCAAUAGCCAUUUUAAAGGACCAGUGUGUAACAAUUAGAGGGAGCUAUUGUUAGAAAUUUUGCGUCAGCCACCGUAGCUCUCCAACACGCUGGCACACGGGAGAGGCUUCAAUUGGUUGAAAUCUCCUCACCUCACAGCUGGAUACCGCCAGAUCAUACACACUGGACCUUUAAAUAUGGGCAUAACGGCACACAUUUCAGACCGUGUCUCUAGAGAGCAUUCAUAGUGUUGCAGCCGGUUGUUAACAUGAAAAGUGACUAGAGGACGAGAGGAAAAGUGAAUUAAAAAAAGAAAGCUAUAGAGAGAAGUCAGCUGAAAUUGACGGGUGUAGCACUAAGCUUAGUGCGCGGUCAGUUGUUUUGCAUCCCUGUUAGGAAUAAACUAAGUUCUUACAAGCAGGAAAUAAAAUCAUGUCUGCAAAAAUGACUCCAGAUACAGCAGGUGCUUGAAAGGAUAAACUGGGUGGAGGUGGAGGUGUAUUACACGACUACAGAGCAGGUGAAGUCAUGGAGACAUUGUGUUUUGUUCUGUCCUGAGGUAGACGACUUGUUAGGUCACUGUCUCAGGUUAAGAUCCAGGAAGUGGACACACAGCAAACAAUACUGUCUUUUCAGUAACUAAAAGUCUGCUCUUUCCUCUUCUGACAAUGACAGGCAGUAUAAAGUUGCAGCAUAUUUUGUCUCGUUAAAAAUACAUUUGUGCAAAUGGGGGAAUGCUAUCUGGGUCACAGAGUGCCAGUGAUACCCUGGUGGAGUGGAGCUAAAGUUUGUGUGAUGCAAAAAAAAAAGAAGCAUUUUAUGUGUUUUUCUUCAUAGAGAUGGGACAGUGAGGAGGACAAAUAAUGAGAUAACUUAUCUUUAGAAAUCUCCAAUUAGAGAACGUUUUCCCACUGGAGCAAUUAUACCUCUUGGCCGCAUGUGAACUCAAUAGCAGUAAUAUUGCCCCACGUUUCUCAGGUGUCUCUUAUGUUAAAAUGGUUUGUUUGCAGUCUGGAGUUACUGUAAUGUGACUCUCCAUACAGUACCGGUCCUAUUGUUUUAUUCAUAUAGGGAGUAGGUUAAAGGUAAUGAUAUCCUGGGACAGAUAAGAGAUAAGAAUCCGAUUGUACACAGGAUAUACCUCGUGACAUGUGUUGACAUGAUGUGAACUCAAUAGCAGUAUGUUUAGGGUUUGUUUGAAUUCUGUUACGAUCAGUUGUUUUAUUUAUUCAAAGGAUAAGUAUAAUAGCCUUUAGGUAGAGCUGAUAAAGUGACAAGAAACCAGUUCUGUACAGAAAAUAAGCAAAUAAUUAUAUCAGCUAUUUAAAUAAGUGUAGGGGAAAAACUGACAUGAAUAAACUAGGAAAGAUAAUCAUGCCAUAAAAUGUAAGUUAAUAAUUAAGUGAGUGACAUAAUUUUCAAUUUCCAAUAGUUUUUUGUUGUUGUUUGAACCAGUAAAAGCAGAUUGAAACUGAUAAAAGACAAAGGUUGGUAGUUGGUCCACUAACUACGGAUGGGGGAAAAAAUCGAUUCACCUCUGUAUUGUGAUUUUUUUUUUUUUUACGAUUUUGAAAUCAAGCUUUUAAUGCCAUAAUCAAUAGAUUUGCUUAAUUUGAGUCUACGCGGAGGUAGAAGGAAGUUACCGCUUUUAUUGUUGUAGUCAGAGUAAAGUGACGUCCAUUCUGUAUCCGUCUAA